UACGUAGGGUGCGAGCGUUGUCCGGAAUUACUGGGCGUAAAGAGCUCGUAGGUGGUUUGUCGCGUUGUUCGUGAAAACCUGAGGCUUAACCUUGGGCGUGCGGGCGAUACGGACAGACUGGAGUACUGCAGGGGAGACUGGAAUUCCUGGUGUAGCGGUGGAAUGCGCAGAUAUCAGGAGGAACACCGGUGGCGAAGGCGGGUCUCUGGGCAGUAACUGACGCUGAGGAGCGAAAGCGUGGGGAGCGAACAGG
rnacentral:rRNA from 1 species